rnacentral:rRNA from 1 species
GGCCAGACUCCUACGGGAGGCAGCAGUGGGGGAUAUUGGACAAUGGGGGGAACCCUGAUCCAGCGACGCCGCGUGAGUGAAGAAGUAUCUCGGUAUGUAAAGCUCUAUCAGCAGGGAAGAAAGAAAUGACGGUACCUGAGUAAGAAGCCCCGGCUAACUACGUGCCAGCAGCCGCGGUAAUACGUAGGGGGCAAGCGUUAUCCGGAAUUACUGGGUGUAAAGGGAGCGUAGACGGUGAAGUAAGUCUGGAGUGAAAGGCGGGGGCCCAACCCCCGGACUGCUCUGGAAACUAUUUGACUGGAGUGCAGGAGAGGUAAGCGGAAUUCCUAGUGUAGCGGUGAAAUGCGUAGAUAUGAGGAGGAACACCAGUGGCGAAGGCGGUCUGCUGGACAGCAACUGACGCUGAGGCGCGAAAGCGUGGGGAGCAAACAGGAUUAGAUACCCUAUA